UACGGAGGGUGCAAGCAUUAAUCGGAUUUAUUGGGCGUGAAGAGCGCGUAGGCGGGAAAGAAAGUUAGAUGUGAAAGCUCGAGGCUCAACCUCGAAAACGCAUCUAAAACUCCUUUUCUAGAGGAUGGAUGGAGAAAAUGGAAUUCCACGUGUAGCGGUGAAAUGCGUAGAUAUGUGGAAGAACACCGGUGGCGAAGGCGAUUUUCUAAUUUAUUCCUGACGCUGUGGCGCGAAAGCAAGGGGAGCAAACAGG
rnacentral:rRNA from 1 species